AAAAUUAUGUUUUCAAGAAUCGUUUUUAUAGUGUGGUAGCAGAGGAGUGUGUCUGAACGUGUAGAGCAGUGGAAAUCACGAGAGAGAGAGAUAUUUGUGUUUUUUCAUGAGUAUGACAGUAGCGUUUGGUGUUGCGUUGUUUUAACUGCUAUUUGCUGUUGGUGACUGUUUUUCUCUAGAGAAUAUAGUCUGAGUAGU
rnacentral:snoRNA from 1 species